rnacentral:misc_RNA from 1 species
AAAUAAGGGGGUUUACUCUCCAACUUCCGACGGUUGCAAAUGAAGACAACAUUACCGGCGCUAGCAGUUGCAGAGUUAAUUGCGAAUUGGAAAACUAAAGAGGUCUUCCCUCUUACAAUCAAUCAAUCAAUCAAUCAUUGAACAAUUUUGAACUUCCAUAAAAAAAAAAAUUCAAAAAAAUUGGCAAAAUUAACUUACGACGAGGGAGGGCCAGAAAGGAGGAGAACUGAGUCACCACUGCAGCAAAAAU